rnacentral:rRNA from 1 species
AACGAACGCUGGCGGCAUGCCUAACACAUGCAAGUCGAACGAGACCUUCGGGUCUAGUGGCGCACGGGUGCGUAACGCGUGGGAACCUGCCCUUAGGUUCGGAAUAACUCCCCGAAAGGGGUGCUAAUACCGGAUAAUGUCUUCGGACCAAAGAUUUAUCGCCUUUGGAUGGGCCCGCGUUGGAUUAGCUAGUUGGUAGGGUAAAAGCCUACCAAGGCGACGAUCCAUAGCUGGUCUGAGAGGAUGAUCAGCCACACUGGGACUGAGACACGGCCCAGACUCCUACGGGAGGCAGCAGUGGGGGAUAUUGGACAAUGGGCGGAAGCCUGAUCCAGCAAUGCCGCGUGAGUGAUGAAGGCCUUAGGGUUGUAAAGCUCUUUUACCCGGGAUGAUAAUGACAGUACCGGGAGAAUAAGCUCCGGCUAACUCCGUG